CUCAGAGUCCAGAGGUUGGACUGGAGGAGACGGGACGGAGCAGGAAGUCACUUCCUUCCUCCCGUCAGUCAUUCAUUCAUUCAUCAGCUGCCAGCCGCAAACAGGUGACCGGUGUUGGACAUCGAGAGGAGGUCCCGCUCUCUGCUCACGCAGUAUGUGAGGGUCAUCUCUCACCCAGAGAAGCCGCCACCCCACCACCGACCCGCUCCUCCUGAGGAAGCUGGACUUCCUGAGACCCGACGAUCGUCCUGAGACGCAGCAACAUCUACCAGGAGGACGGCUUUGAAGAUGCAGGGGGCGCUGAAGAGACCAACCCUGACGUAUUCGGAUGCCUGCUGGACGUGGAGGAGACCCGGCCAGAGCUGGAGGAGGAUCUGGGGUCUGCAACUUCCUCCACCCCGCCGUACGAGCUGGAGUUGUCCAGUCACCGAAGUCCCAACCCUCCUGGACCAGGGCCCGCUUGAGCCCGCACAGGAGACUUCCUCGCCAAAGCCAGAUGUUCUGCAGCAGUUUGCCCAGGUGGCGGACAUGCGGCGCACCAGAGACCCGCUGGUGUUGUCUGACUGGUGCAAGACUGAGUCAGUGGAUGAAGACUGCUGACCUCAGCGCUUCACGUGUCGUCAGUCUGGCUCCAUUCUGGACCAGACGCCCAGCUGCUGACUGGUUUUCUGCGCCGUCUGCGGGAAGUUCAGCACUAGAAUUGCCAGCGCCCCCCAGUGGAGGUCUCAGCGUGGGAAUGAAGACAGGGCCGAACCACCCUGACGUGGAGGAGUCAGGUCCACCAGGCUCAGGUGGAGGAAGGACUUUAUGGUAUUAUAUUGUGGCUUUAUGAGGUACAUUUACACACAAUUAUUUGGGGGAUCCAGAACAGAACCACCAGUAAAUGGUUCGACAAAACCAAACAAAGUAAUAAAACUGCAAGCCCUUCCACUGAAGAAAGAGAGGAAGGUGGAGGCUGGGAAUGAGCCCAUCAAAAGGCCCAGCUGGUCCGGUGUUUUCCAAUGAAACGGUACAAUAGCUCAUCAUGCAAGCGCACGUCUUUUGGGGAAAAAAAAACAAUAAUUUUGGUCCGACAUGUCUUACGUGUAAUUGACGUCAUCGUGAAAAGUUGGCCUCGUCUGUGCCUGUGUGAAAUACGCGCGUUCAUUCUUUAUUUGUAUGCUAAUUAAACG